UACGUAGGGACCAAGCGUUGUCCGGAAUCAUUGGGCGUAAAGAGCUUGUAGGCGGUUUGUCGCGUCUGCUGUGAAAUUUCGGGGCUCAACCCCGAACUUGCAGUGGGUACGGGCAGACUAGAGUGUGGUAGGGGAGACUGGAAUUCCUGGUGUAGCGGUGAAAUGCGCAGAUAUCAGGAGGAACACCGAUGGCGAAGGCAGGUCUCUGGGCCACUACUGACGCUGAGAAGCGAAAGCAUGGGGAGCGAACAGG
rnacentral:rRNA from 1 species